GAUGAACGCUGGCGGCGUGCCUAAUACAUGCAAGUCGAGCGAACAGACGAGGAGCUUGCUCCUCUGACGUUAGCGGCGGACGGGUGAGUAACACGUGGAUAACCUACCUAUAAGACUGGGAUAACUUCGGGAAACCGGAGCUAAUACCGGAUAAUAUAUUGAACCGCAUGGUUCAAUAGUGAAAUACGGUUUUGCUGUCACUUAUAGAUGGAUCCGCGCCGCAUUAGCUAGUUGGUAAGGUAACGGCUUACCAAGGCAACGAUGCGUAGCCGACCUGAGAGGGUGAUAGGCCACACUGGAACGGAGACACGGUCCAGACUCCUACGGGAGGCAGCAGUAGGGAAUCUUCCGCAAUGGGCGAAAGCCUGACGGAGCAACGCCGCGUGAGUGAUGAAGGUCUUCGGAUCGUAAAACUCUGUUAUUAGGGAAGAACAAAUGUGUAAGUAACUAUGCACGUCUUGACGGUACCUAAUCAGAAAGCCACGGCUAACUACGUG
rnacentral:rRNA from 1 species